GCCUCUCUGGUGUAAUGGUAACAUGUCUAUACUUGAAGCACAAUUCCCCAUUAACGUAAUGGGGAAUUGUGCUUUAUGGGUCAUAGAAGAUCUAGGUUCGAAUCCUACGGGAGGUA